rnacentral:rRNA from 1 species
GACGAACCGUGCGAACGUUGUUCGGAAUCACUGGGCUUAAAGGGCGCGUAGGCGGGCUGUCAAGUCUGGGGUGAAAUCCCGCGGCUCAACCGUGGAACUGCCUUAGAUACUGACGGCCUUGAGGAAGGUAGGGGCAUGCGGAACUGUAGGUGGAGCGGUGAAAUGCGUUGAUAUCUACAGGAACUCCGGUGGCGAAAGCGGCGUGCUGGACCUUUUCUGACGCUGAGGCGCGAAAGCUAGGGGAGCAAACGGG